rnacentral:rRNA from 1 species
AGAGUUUGAUCAUGGCUCAGAUUGAACGCUGGCGGCAUGCCUUACACAUGCAAGUCGAACGGUAACAGGUUAAGCUGACGAGUGGCGAACGGGUGAGUAAUAUAUCGGAACGUGCCCAGUAGUGGGGGAUAGCCCGGCGAAAGCCGGAUUAAUACCGCAUACGACCUACGGGUGAAAGGGGGGGAUCGCAAGACCUCUCGCUAUUGGAGCGGCCGAUAUCAGAUUAGCUAGUUGGUGGGGUAAAAGCUCACCAAGGCGACGAUCUGUAGCUGGUCUGAGAGGACGACCAGCCACACUGGGACUGAGACACGGCCCAGACUCCUACGGGAGGCAGCAGUGGGGAAUUUUGGACAAUGGACGCAAGUCUGAUCCAGCCAUGCCGCGUGCGGGAAGAAGGCCUUCGGGUUGUAAACCGCUUUUGUCAGGGAAGAAAAGUCUGGGGCUAAUAUCCUCGGAUGAUGACGGUACCUGAAGAAUAAGCACCGGCUAACUACGUGCCAGCAGCCGCGGUAAUACGUAGGGUGCAAGCGUUAAUCGGAAUUACUGGGCGUAAAGCGUGCGCAGGCGGUUCUAUAAGACAGAUGUGAAAUCCCCGGGCUCAACCUGGGAACUGCAUUUGUGACUGUAGAGCUGGAGUACGGUAGAGGGGGAUGGAAUUCCGCGUGUAGCAGUGAAAUGCGUAGAUAUGCGGAGGAACACCGAUGGCGAAGGCAAUCCCCUGGACCUGUACUGACGCUCAUGCACGAAAGCGUGGGGAGCAAACAGGAUUAGAUACCCNNGUAGUCC